CCUACGGGAGGCAGCAGUGGGGAAUAUUGCACAAUGGGGGAAACCCUGAUGCAGCGACGCCGCGUGAGUGAAGAAGUAUGUCGGUAUGUAAAGCUCUAUCAGCAGGAACGAGACAAGACGGUACCUGACUAAGAAGCCCCGGCUAACUACGUGCCAGCAGCCGCGGUAAUACGUAGGGGGCAAGCGUUAUCCGGAACCAGUGGGGGUAAAGGGAGCGUAGACGGGUGAGCAAGCCUGAAGUGAAAGGCGGGGGACCAACCCCCGGACUGCUUUGGGAACUGUACGGCUGGAGUGCAGGAGAGGUAAGUGGAAUUCCUAGUGUAGCGGUGAAAUGCGUAGAUAUUAGGAGGAACACCAGUGGCGAAGGCGGCUUACUGGACUGUAACUGACGUUGAGGCUCGAAAGCGUGGGGAGCAAACAGGAUUAGAUACCCUUGUAGUC
rnacentral:rRNA from 1 species